rnacentral:rRNA from 1 species
UACAGGGGGGGCAAGCGUUAUCCGGAUUCACUGGGUUUAAAGGGUGCGUAGGCGGACAGGUAAGUCCGUGGUGAAAUCCUGCAGCUUAACUGCAGAACUGCCAUGGAUACUAUCUAUCUUGAAUAUCGUGGAGGUUAGCGGAAUAUGUCAUGUAGCGGUGAAAUGCUUAGAUAUGACAUAGAACACCCAUUGCGAAGGCAGCUAACUACGCGAUAAUUGACGCUGAUGCACGAAAAGCGUGGGGGAUCAAACAGGA